rnacentral:rRNA from 1 species
UACGUAGGGUGCAGGCGUUAAUCGGAAUUACUGGGCGUAAAGCGUGCGCAGGCGGUUUGCUAAGACAGGUGUGAAAUCCCCGGGCUUAACCUGGGAACUGCGCUUGUUACUGGCAGGCUUGAGUGUGGCAGAGGGGGGGUGGAAUUCCACGUGUAGCAGUGAAAUGCGUAGAGAUGUGGAGGAACACCGAUGGCGAAGGCAGCCCCCUGGGCUAACACUGACGCUCAUGCACGAAAGCGUGGGGAGCAAACAGG